AAGUGCACUACCGUUCUCCACGCCCUUCCUGUCUAUCUGCAUGAGGAUGUCUCUGGAUUUUUCAGAACCUGCACUGACGAAUCUGAUGAGUUGGAGCUUGAUGGUGUUGAAGUGGCCCUCUUCACUGUCAUCAGUGACCAUGACACAACAAGUCCAGUUCACUACCAACCUGUGAAAAUCUCUGUCGUCAUUGAAAGUGAUGCCGUGUUCAGUCUCCCCAGAUUUGGUGAAGCCUUCCUAGUAAUGUUUGGACUGAUCUAUGCACUUCACCUCAGCUACCCCAAAGCCCUGACCAACACUUUAGAAUUUACUCAAAAGAUUUUAUUUGGUCUAGAAAGUGGUAAACUGUCACCCAGGUUACAGACCCUCAAGAAUGACUUGGUUAUGUAGGAACUCAUCUGAAAGAAGGAUGCAGGGUGAAGCAUUAUAAAAGGCUAGUUCAAAGUUCUCUCCUUUCAUCUAAAUAAUGCCUCAAAACAUUAUUAGAUUACUCUACAGGUGUUCAGCCAAUAGGUCCAAACUAUACAACGUGCCUUUGUUCUCAUUAACAUAAUGCAAAGCAACACUAAUGUUUUGUAUGUUUUAAUGUUUUUCGUAAUACUAUUUCCAAAACAUUGUGGGCUGCGCAAGAUGACCUAAAUUUCACUGUUUGAUACUGGUUAAUGUAAAACAAAUAGCAUUGUAAUUCACUCAAAUUGCUGCCUUGUUGUCUUAUUCAGAUAUUAGCCAGAGAGCCAAAAGCACAUUUUGAUAUUAUUAAUUAUUAUUUUUCAUUACUCUGACAGUUUUCCUGACUAAACAAUUUUUGGUCUACUUAUUUUAAUUUAUAAAUGUUUUUGUUAAUUAUUUUUAAUUUAUGUAAUUUUUUUUUUUAAAUGUAUUUAAUUUCAACAUAGUGCUAAAAGGGAGCAGGCAAGAUACUGUUCAAUGGCAGAUGUUUAUGACUUUUGCAUAUUAAGUUACCGAUACUCAGUGUAAUUGAGGCAAUCAAUUGCCUCAAAAAUUUUAAGUUUUGGGUCACAUGUUUUUAAGUAUCAAGUAGUCAACAUAUUUGACUAACGUGUACUUAAAAUAAUGACAACACAAACUAAUAAACAUUUGAGUUUUGUUAACAUAAAAA